UUCCGGUUGAUCCUGCCGGACCUGACUGCUAUCGGAUUGAUACUAAGCCAUGCGAGUCAUUGUAGUAAUACAAGGCAGACGGCUCAGUAACGCGUAGUCAACCUAACCUAUGGACGGGAAUAACCUCGGGAAACUGAGUAUAAUGCCCGAUAGAACAUUAUGCCUGGAAUGGUUUAUGUUCCAAAUGAUUUAUCGCCGUAGGAUGGGACUGCGGCCUAUCAGUUUGUUGGUGAGGUAAUGGCCCACCAAGACUAUUACAGGUACGGGCUCUGAGAGGAGUAGCCCGGAGAUGGGUACUGAGACACGGACCCAGGCCCUAUGGGGCGCAGCAGGCGAGAAAACUUUGCAAUGUGCGAAAGCACGACAAGGUUAAUCCGAGUGGUUUGUGCUAAACGAACCUUUUGUUAGUCCUAGAAACACUAACGAAUAAGGGGUGGGCAAGUUCUGGUGUCAGCCGCCGCGGUAAAACCAGCACCUCAAGUGGUCAGGAUGAUUAUUGGGCCUAAAGCAUCCGUAGCCGGCUCUGUAAGUUUUCGGUUAAAUCUGUACGCUCAACGUACAGGCUGCCGGGAAUACUGCAGAGCUAGGGAGUGGGAGAGGUAGACGGUACUCGGGAGGAAGGGGUAAAAUCCUUUGAUCUUUCGAUGACCACCUGUGGCGAAGGCGGUCUACCAGAACACGUCCGACGGUGAGGGAUGAAAGCUGGGGGAGCAAACCGGAUUAGAUACCCGGGUAGUCCCAGCUGUAAACUAUGCAAACUCAGUGAUGCAUUGACUUGUGGUCAAUGCAGCGCUGCAGGGAAGCCGUUAAGUUUGCCGCCUGGGAAGUACGUACGCAAGUAUGAAACUUAAAGGAAUUGGCGGGGGAGCACCACAAGGGGUGAAGCCUGCGGUUCAAUUGGAGUCAACGCCGGG
rnacentral:rRNA from 1 species